CUUGUUCACAUGAAGCUCUGUCUAUAGAGACCACACCAUAGAUCUGUUCACUUCUUGAUUUUCCCUCCAUAGGAAAAUGAAGAAAGUCUUUUCAGCACUGCCCGGUUGCUUUUCUCUGCUUAUAAUAGUAUUGGUAUUCUUCUUCUUGUCCUUCACAUUGUGUUUUGGAGGAAAUGUGACUUACGAUUCUCGCUCUCUAAUCAUCGAUGGCCAGCGAAAGCUUCUCAUCUCUGCUGCCAUUCAUUAUCCCCGUAGCGUCCCUGGGAUGUGGCCGGAGCUGGUGCAAACAGCAAAGGAAGGAGGGGUGGAUGUGAUCGAAACAUAUGUGUUUUGGAACGGUCAUGAGCCUUCUGUCUCUAAUUAUUAUUUCGAGCAAAGGUUCGAUCUGGUCAAGUUCGUGAAGAUUGUUCACCAGGCCGGGAUGUAUUUAAUUCUUCGUAUUGGCCCAUUUGUUGCAGCGGAAUGGAAUUUUGGGGGAGUACCUGUUUGGUUGCAUUACAUACCUGACACCGUUUUUCGAACUGAUAAUUAUAACUUCAAGUAUCACAUGCAGAAAUUCAUGAGUUACAUAGUGAACCUAAUGAAGCAAGAGAAGCUUUUUGCAUGGCAGGGAGGUCCCAUCAUCUUGGCUCAGGUUGAAAAUGAAUAUGGAUUCUAUGAAAGCUUUUAUGGAGAAGGGGGAAAGCAGUAUGCCAUGUGGGCUGCUCAAAUGGCUGUUUCUCAAAAUGCUGGUGUACCUUGGAUAAUGUGCCAGCAGUUUGAUGCUCCAGAGAUUGUGAUAAAUACUUGUAAUUCCUUCUACUGCGAUCAAUUUAAACCCAUUUUUCCAGACAAGCCUAAAAUUUGGACUGAGAAUUGGCCUGGAUGGUUUCAGACAUUUGGGGCCCCUAAUCCUCAUAGGCCACCUGAAGAUAUUGCUUAUUCUGUUGCUCGUUUCUUCCAGAAAGGUGGCAGUGUACAAAACUAUUACAUGUAUCAUGGUGGAACAAAUUUCGGUCGCACUUCAGGUGGACCAUUCAUUACAACAAGUUAUGACUAUGAGGCACCAAUUGAUGAAUAUGGUUUACCUAGGCUUCCAAAAUGGGCACACCUUAGGGAACUUCAUAGGGCUAUAAAGUUAUGUGAACAUACAAUGCUGAACAGUGACCCAAUUAAUUUGUCACUUGGUCCUUCCCAAGAGGCUGAUGUCUAUGCUGAUGCAUCAGGAGCAUGUGUUGCCCUUCUUGCUAAUACAGAUGAAAAGAAUGAGAAGACUGUUGAAUUUCGGAAUAUGUCAUAUCACCUGCCUGCUUGGUCAGUUAGCAUUCUGCCUGAUUGCAAGAAUGUAGUAUUCAACACUGCAAAGGUGAGUUCCCAGACAUCUGUAGUUGAAAUGGUACCUGAGGACUUGCAGCCAUCAGAUAAAGGCUUGAAAGCUAUUAAAUGGGAAUCAUUUGUAGAAAAUGCUGGGAUUUGGGGAAAUCCAGACUUUGUUAAAAAGGGUUUUGUGGAUCACAUCAAUACCACCCAAGAUACCACUGACUACCUCUGGUAUACAACAAGUAUUAUUGUCAGCGAAAGUGAAGAGUUCUUGAAAAAGGGAAGCCAACCAUUUCUUCUGAUUGAGUCAAAGGGUCAUGCUCUCCAUGCUUUUGUGAAUCAGGAACUUCAAGGUAGUGCAUCUGGAAAUGGAACUCAUUCACCCUUUAAAUUUAAUAAGCCUGUAUCUCUCAGGGCAGGGAAGAAUGACAUUGCUCUCCUUAGCAUGACUGUUGGAUUACAAAAUGCUGGCCCAUUUUAUGAAUGGGUAGGAGCUGGAUUAACAAGUGUCAAGAUUGAUGGGUUCAACAACGGGACAAUAGACUUGUCUACAUGUAAUUGGACUUAUAAGAUUGGAUUGCAGGGAGAAAAGCUUGGUAUAUACAAGGCUGAUGCUGUGGAUAAUGUAAAUUGGGUUGCAACCUCAAAACCACCAAAGAAUCAGCCAUUAACAUGGUAUAAGGUUGCUUUAGAUCCACCAGCAGGAGAUGAACCUAUUGGGCUGGACAUGCUUCAUAUGGGGAAAGGUCUAGCUUGGUUGAAUGGAGAAGAAAUUGGAAGAUACUGGCCCAGGAAAAGUUCUAUACAUGAAAAGUGUGUUCAAGAAUGUGACUACAGAGGCAAAUUUAUGCCAGACAAAUGCAGGACUGGAUGUGGAGAACCGACACAAAGAUGGUACCAUGUUCCACGGUCUUGGUUCAAGCCAUCUGGAAACAUUCUGGUGAUUUUUGAGGAGAAAGGUGGAGAUCCAACAAAAAUUACAUUCUCAAGACGGAAAAUCUCUGGUGUUUGUGCUCUUGUUUCUGAAGAUUAUCCGAUGGCCAAUCUUGAAUCGUUUCAGAAAGGUGGAAAUGGAAAUUUCAGUUCUAAGGCCUCUGUCCAUCUCAAGUGCCCCAACAAUAGUCAUAUAUCUAUUGUAAAAUUUGCUAGUUUUGGAUCCCCUACUGGAACAUGUGGAUCCUACAGUGAGGGAGAAUGCCAUGAUCCUAAAUCCAUUUCUGUGGUUGAAAAGGUUAAGUUCCAAAUCUCUUAAUUUUUGAGGUCUAAAUUGUUAUUUUCUGACACCAUCUUCAGUGGGAGAAAUUUACAUAUUAUAAAAGAAGCAAGGUACACACUACACAGAAGUUCAAAAGCAUAUAUUUCCGUGCCCAUGGUCUAGCACAAUUUUUAAUAUUCUAGGAAUCUCAAAUCUUCUGUACAACAGGUUCCGAGCUUGUUUUACCUUGAUGGAAAAGUUUCAAGCAAAGAAUUUUUUAAUCCUAGUAUCGUUUUUGUGCCUUCUUCGCCUCCACCUUCCACAUUUUGCUGCAUUUAUUUGAGCAUAUACCAUGUAUUUUCUCUCUCUUUUCAAAUAUGUAGGUAUAUUGUCCUAAACUUUAUAGAAAUAUUUCAGGUCUGCCUAAACAAAAAUGAGUGUGCGGUAGAAGUAACAGAAGAGAACUUCAGCAAGGGAUUGUGCCCCGGCACAACCAAAAAACUUGCAGUGGAAGCAGUUUGCAGCUGAAAAUUUUUCAAUUCCAGUAGCGAGAAAGUUUCAACUGUGCAGCUUUUCAUAUCUUCUCGAGUAAAAUACAAGGGGAAACGACAGAAAGCGAGAGAGAGAGAGAAUCAUUUGUCCCGGAAUAUAUAUAUAUAUAUAUAU
rnacentral:misc_RNA from 1 species